rnacentral:pre_miRNA from 1 species
GCACUAUUAGCUCCGUCCCAAAAUUCUUAUCUUAAAUUUAUUUAAGUAUGGAUGUAUCUGACACUAAAACAUGACUAGAUACAUCUGUAUUUAGAUAAAUCUAAGACAAGAAUUUUAAGACAGAGGGAGUAUUUU